UUUUAAUUGAGAGUUUGAUCCUGGCUCAGGACGAACGCU
rnacentral:rRNA from 1 species